rnacentral:rRNA from 1 species
CGGCGUCUAUACAUGCAAGUCGAACGAACUCUGGUAUUGAUUGGUGCUUGCAUCAUGAUUUACAUUUGAGUGAGUGGCGAACUGGUGAGUAACACGUGGGAAACCUGCCCAGAAGCGGGGGAUAACACCUGGAAACAGAUGCUAAUACCGCAUAACAACUUGGACCGCAUGGUCCGAGCUUGAAAGAUGGCUUCGGCUAUCACUUUUGGAUGGUCCCGCGGCGUAUUAGCUAGAUGGUGGGGUAACGGCUCACCAUGGCAAUGAUACGUAGCCGACCUGAGAGGGUAAUCGGCCACAUUGGGACUGAGACACGGCCCAAACUCCUACGGGAGGCAGCAGUAGGGAAUCUUCCACAAUGGACGAAAGUCUGAUGGAGCAACGCCGCGUGAGUGAAGAAGGGUUUCGGCUCGUAAAACUCUGUUGUUAAAGAAGAACAUAUCUGAGAGUAACUGUUCAGGUAUUGACGGUAUUUAACCAGAAAGCCACGGCUAACUACGUGCCAGCAGCCGCGGUAAUACGUAGGUGGCAAGCGUUGUCCGGAUUUAUUGGGCGUAAAGCGAGCGCAGGCGGUUUUUUAAGUCUGAUGUGAAAGCCUUCGGCUCAACCGAAGAAGUGCAUCGGAAACUGGGAAACUUGAGUGCAGAAGAGGACAGUGGAACUCCAUGUGUAGCGGUGAAAUGCGUAGAUAUAUGGAAGAACACCAGUGGCGAAGGCGGCUGUCUGGUCUGUAACUGACGCUGAGGCUCGAAAGUAUGGGUAGCAAACAGGAUUAGAUACCCUGGUAGUCCAUACCGUAAACGAUGAAUGCUAAGUGUUGGAGGGUUUCCGCCCUUCAGUGCUGCAGCUAACGCAUUAAGCAUUCCGCCUGGGGAGUACGGCCGCAAGGCUGAAACUCAAAGGAAUUGACGGGGGCCCGCACAAGCGGUGGAGCAUGUGGUUUAAUUCGAAGCUACGCGAAGAACCUUACCAGGUCUUGACAUACUAUGCAAAUCUAAGAGAUUAGACGUUCCCUUCGGGGACAUGGAUACAGGUGGUGCAUGGUUGUCGUCAGCUCGUGUCGUGAGAUGUUGGGUUAAGUCCCGCAACGAGCGCAACCCUUAUUAUCAGUUGCCAGCAUUAAGUUGGGCACUCUGGUGAGACUGCCGGUGACAAACCGGAGGAAGGUGGGGAUGACGUCAAAUCAUCAUGCCCCUUAUGACCUGGGCUACACACGUGCUACAAUGGAUGGUACAACGAGUUGCGAACUCGCGAGAGUAAGCUAAUCUCUUAAAGCCAUUCUCAGUUCGGAUUGUAGGCUGCAACUCGCCUACAUGAAGUCGGAAUCGCUAGUAAUCGCGGAUCAGCAUGCCGCGGUGAAUACGUUCCCGGGCCUUGUACACACCGCCCGUCACACCAUGAGAGUUUGUAACACCCAAAGUCGGUGGGGUAACCUUUUAGGAACCAGCCGCCUAAGGUGACAGUGGG